UACAGAGGCCUCGAGCGUUAGGCGGAAUCACUGGGCUUAAAGCGUGUGUAGGCGGAUCGUUAAGUGUCUUGUGAAAUCCCACGGCUCACCCGUGGAACUGCUGGGCAUACUGGCGAUCUUGGGCCGUUCAGGGGCGACUGGAACAAGCGGUGGAGCGGUGAAAUGCGUGGAUAUCGCUUGGAACGCCGAAGGUGAAAACAGGUCGCUGGGGACGCGCCGACGCUGAGACACGAAAGCCAGGGGAGCAAACGGG
rnacentral:rRNA from 1 species